GAGAACAUAUCCAAAUUUAUCAAGAUGUAAGGCCUGUGGCAUUCAACCAAUGGAUCUUAACACUCCCAUUCUCAUCCCUUUAUGGAGUGUGGCGGUUAACCAUACCGUAGGUUUCUAUCUCUCAAUAGAUAACACGUUCGGAUUCUUCUACUUUGUUGAUACUUUCAAUUCCUUAACAAACUUUAUAGAAAACGGGUUGGG
rnacentral:lncRNA from 1 species